CGUAGGGGCAAGCGUUAUCCGGAUUUACUGGGGUGUAAAGGGUGCGUAGGUGGCAUGGUAAGUCAGAAGUGAAAACCCGGGGCUCAACCCCGUGGAUUGCUUUUGAAACUAUCAGGCUAGAGUGCAGGAGAGGUAAGUGGAAUUCCUAGUGUAGCGGUGAAAUGCGUAGAUAUUAGGAGGAACACCAGUGGCGAAGGCGGCUUACUGGACUGCAACUGACACUGAGGCACGAAAGCGUGGGGAGCAAACAGGAUU
rnacentral:rRNA from 1 species